AAGAGACGUUGCCCUUCGGGGUACUACCUCCCACCCUUUGUUUAUUAUACCUUUGUUGCUUUGGCGGGCCCGUCCUCGGACCACCGGCUUCUGCUGGUCAGCUGCCCGCCAGAGGACCUAAAACUCUGUUUGUUAAUAUUGUCUGAGUACUAUAUAAUAGUUA
rnacentral:misc_RNA from 1 species